GACGAACGCUGGCGGCGUGCUUAACACAUGCAAGUCGAACGGUAAGGCCCUUUCGGGGGUACACGAGUGGCGAACGGGUGAGUAACACGUGAGUAACCUGCCCUUGACUCUGGGAUAACAGUUGGAAACAGCUGCUAAUACCGGAUAUUCAACCCUUGGCGCAUGUUGGGGGUUGGAAAGUUCCGGCGGUCAGGGAUGGACUCGCGGCCUAUCAGCUUGUUGGUGAGGUAAUGGCUCACCAAGGCUUCGACGGGUAGCCGGCCUGAGAGGGCGACCGGCCACAUUGGGACUGAGAUACGGCCCAAACUCCUACGGGAGGCAGCAGUGGGGAAUAUUGCACAAUGGGCGAAAGCCUGAUGCAGCAACGCCGCGUGCGGGAUGACGGCCUUCGGGUUGUAAACCGCUUUCAUCCAUGACGAAGCUUUUUGUGACGGUAGUGGAAGAAGAAGCACCGGCUAACUACGUG
rnacentral:rRNA from 1 species